rnacentral:tRNA from 1 species
GCCUUCGUAGCUUAAUGGAUAGAGCAAUUGGCUUCGAACCAAUAGGUUGGGGGUUCGAGUCCCUCCGGAGGCA